UACGGAGGGGGCUAGCGUUGUUCGGAAUUACUGGGCGUAAAGCGCACGUAGGCGGCUUUGUAAGUUAGAGGUGAAAGCCCGGAGCUCAACUCCGGAAUUGCCUUUAAGACUGCAUCGCUAGAAUUGUGGAGAGGUAAGUGGAAUUCCGAGUGUAGAGGUGAAAUUCGUAGAUAUUCGGAAGAACACCAGUGGCGAAGGCGGCAUCCUGGACCGGUAUUGACGCUGAGGCGCGAAAGCCAGGGGAGCAAACGGG
rnacentral:rRNA from 1 species